GGAAGUCCCGUCAGUCAGCCGCGGGGCCGAAUUCGCCCGGACUCGCCGGAGGGACGGACCAGUCAAAUCAGUCUGGAAGCUUCCGACCAGAGGGACUCUAAGAAAGAGGGGAAGAAGACCAGAAAGGUGGCCGACCCUGUCAGCGUAGUUGAAGAGGAUAAGAGGAGGAUGAGCAGGUUUGCCGGUAUUGGAGCAGUCUCUAUUGUAGACGCCAACCUGACAAUUUGACAAGCUUUGGAAGCUCUCUAAGGAGAAGUUAGGCAAAAGAGGUGCUCCCGGGCAGAAUGCCAGCCGAGGGUCCCACUGGCCACCCUGAGAAAUGAAGGGAUCACUACUUUAGCACACUGGAACCACUGCUGGCCUGGGAGAGCUCCUUGGAAUAUCAGCUAGAAAAACUCUGCCCUAGGAGGUCGUGCUAAUAGUCUUCAAGCUGCUUGGCCUGCCACAGUGAAAGAGCAUUCUCACUACAUAAUAUAGAAACCCUGAAAUGAGACCUCUCUGGCAUUUCUUCAAUUUGGAAGUACUGAGGCAACUUGCAGCUAGGAAUUGGUUAGAGUCAUCUCCUUCAGCCAGAAGUCUUGUACUGCCUAAGGAGACAAAAUCAGCCCUGUUCACAGAGAAGCAAUUGCUUGAAAAAUCAAAUUAGGAACAUGAUGGAUCUCAAGACUUUGGGCAGAGCCAUCGCUCCACUCCAGGUGGUCACAUGCUCUGAGGCAGCAGAAGGGAAGGCACCACCUGAAGGUUACCGGACCUUGGAUUUGGAAGGAUGGCCAGCUUAGGAGCAACUUUUUGGAAUAAGCGUUGUCUUAGCAGGACGAGCUACUUACGGGAGUGAAGUUUUCAGCAGUUAUUAGAAAGAAAAUUCCCCAACAGAUAUAAAGGGAACAGUCUGUCUUUCUGUGCAUCUGCGUGGCUGUGCGGCUGUUAGGACAGCGGUGCUGACUCCCGUGGCUCUCAUGCAAGCUCCCGAGAGCUGCGUGCUAUUUUCCAUGAUAAUGGAAAGAGCUAUAUGCACGGCGGUGUUUACUCACUUGAUGAUAUUAUGGGAAGCUUCAGGAACUCAGAGAAGAGGUUUGAUAAAGAUCGAGUGCCAUUCAGUCCUGAUAACAAUUGUCAGAGGGACUGAGUGGCUGGUUUCUUUACUCAGAAAGUGGUCUGGUAAUGCCGUAUAUGUGCACGUACAAAAUGGAAGCAUUUGCAAAGCAUACGUUAUUCCUCUACUUUACCCCAAACCCGACAUAAUCGGCCUCUCCAAUCUGUUCUAAACCUUGCUGAAUUAGAAAUAAAAGGAGCCCAGCUAAGUGAGGGUCUGAAAUAUUGAUAAGAGACUUGAUGAAUAAUUGUGGAAGUGCAAUUUCCCCAUGUUUGAAUAGCCGGUUAUAUUUAUCUGCAACUAAAUUGCUCAGAAUAUUCGUAAAUUGUGAGGGAUUUUUACCUUGUGUGUAAGCAAUAGCAGGUACUCCACUCGACCUGUUUCUAGAUGAGGAAGAAAGGAUAAUACCCUCUGAUAAAAGUAGCACUGAUGUAAACCUCAAGCUAUGUAGAUCACUGCAAAUAAUGGGAGUCCAUAGACAGCAAAUGGGCACGCCACCUUCACAACGGGGGCAAUGCAAGAAACAGCUUGACUGUAGAUAUUACCCUUAUUGCCUUGCUCUCCAGGAGAGGCUACAUGCUAUGAGACUAUAGUGAAUCCAUUUUGAAGUGAUUUUUCUAUGGUUGUGAUGGAAAAAGAGGACUUGGACUCUGAUCCAUUCCUUCUAGGGAGGCCUGACUUGCAACACACAUCAGAGGAAAUUAAAAUAGUCAUGCCCUGCAUGACAACAUUUCAGUCAAUGACAGAUCACAUGAUGGAUGAUGGUCCUAUAAGAUUAUAAUACCACAUUUUUGCUGUACCUUUUCUAUGUUUAGAUACACACACGCUUAUCAUUGUGUUACAAUUGCCUGUGGUAUUCACUUUUGUAGCCAGGGUGCAAUCUGCUAUACCAUAUAGCCUGUCUGGGUAUACAGUAGGCUCUAUCAUCUAGGCUUAUGUAAGUACACUCUAUGAUGUUCACACAAUGGCAAAGUCACCUAACAACACACUUCUCAGAACACAUCCUCCCCUUAGGCAAUGCGUGACUGUACGAAUUGAUUCUAAAUUCCUUGUUACAUUAAGCACCAAGUUACAGCUCAGUGAGUCUUGAUGAUGGAGCUCUGGAAAUCCUCCAGAGUCUUCCGUGUAUAUGAAUUGGUCUGGCUGGGCGUGGUGGCUCACACGUGUCUGUAGUCUCAGCACUCUGAAAGGCUAAGACAGGAGCAUUGCUUGAGUCCUGGAGUUUGAGAGCAGACUGGGUAACACAGCGAUACCUCCAUUUCUACACAAAAAUGUUUUUAAAAAAUUAGCUGGGUGUGGUAGUU